UACGGGGGGGGCAAGCGUUGUUCGGAAUUACUGGGCGUAAAGGGCUCGUAGGCGGCCAACUAAGUCAUACGUGAAAUCCCCCGGCUUAACCGGGGAACUGCGUCUGAUACUGGAUGGCUUGAGUUCGGGAGAGGGAUGCGGAAUUCCAGGUGUAGCGGUGAAAUGCGUAGAUAUCUGGAGGAACACCGAUGGCGAAGGCAGGUCUCUGGGCCACUACUGACGCUGAGAAGCGAAAGCAUGGGGAGCGAACAGG
rnacentral:rRNA from 1 species